AUUGAACGCUGGCGGCAUGCCUUACACAUGCAAGUCGAACGGCAGCACGGGAGCAAUCCUGGUGGCGAGUGGCGAACGGGUGAGUAAUAUAUCGGAACGUGCCCAGUCGUGGGGGAUAACGUAGCGAAAGCUACGCUAAUACCGCAUGCGAUCUAUGGAUGAAAGCGGGGGAUCGCAAGACCUCGCGCGAUUGGAGCGGCCGAUAUCAGAUUAGGUAGUUGGUGAGGUAAAGGCUCACCAAGCCAACGAUCUGUAGCUGGUCUGAGAGGACGACCAGCCACACUGGAACUGAGACACGGUCCAGACUCCUACGGGAGGCAGCAGUGGGGAAUUUUUGGACAAUGGACGCAAGUCUGAUCCAGCCAUUCCGCGUGCAGGAUGAAGGCCCUCGGGUUGUAAACUGCUUUUGUACGGAACGAAACGGUGAGCUCUAAUACAGUUUGCUAAUGACGGUACCGUAAGAAUAAGCACCGGCUAACUACG
rnacentral:rRNA from 1 species